ensembl:Mt_tRNA
AAGAAAGUCGUAGAGGUUACGAAGUUGGCUUGAAACCGAUUUUUGGGGGUUCGAUUCCUUCCUUUCUUG